UCAUUCGGGCCCCCUCUCUGCUGGCAAAAAGCUCAGAUGUACUGGACUGUGCAUUUGAUUUGGAACUGAGUUACAUGGGAGAGAAGCAGGGAUUCAGUUUGGCUGGGAAUCAAACUCUUUUGAUAAUUUCCUAAUAAACUGAUAGUCAUUAGAUGACUUGUAGUCUCGAUAAGUUGAAACUUUUUCCUAACAUGCUGUUUAUGAUACUGAGUUCUUUGUCACCGGUUGAACUAACAGCAAUUGUAUUCACAAAUUUUCCAGCCUUUAAAAUACUGUCUGAGGGUUUUAUGUAUCCGUUAUCUUUUAUUAUACAAAAGUCAUUUAUUGGAAUGACAUAUAUAAUUAGAUUGACCCUAACCAUUCAGGCUGGAUGAGGCAACACAGUGUGAAGAUUAAGUGCAUGGGCUCUGUUGUGCUUCCUGUGUUUGAAUCUUGGCUCUCUUUGUCUCCAUUUCCUCCUGUAAAAGAGGAUAAUGAUGAUAAUUUUAAUUCUUCAAUGGGUUAAUAUAUAAACAUAUAUUACAAAUGUAUAAACAUUGCCAGGAGGGUCCAUUGUUAAUGCCUGUAGUGGGAUGAUGUUUGAGAUUUUAAGUCUCAUUCCCUAAAAUGGAGGUGAAAUUCAACAGGGAUGGGAAGAAAGAACAUCUGCACCUCAGCCACCCUUUAGCUCCAAACCUCCCUUAUGCUCUCAUCUGCCCCACAGCCUCCAUCCUGUAACAAGAGGACCAGCUGUGCCAGUGGAGGCCACAGCAUCUAGCUUAUGCCUCCAAUGUAACCUGUUACUGCCCACCUGUUCUCCCUGAUAUUCUCUGACUCUUAGUACUAAGGUCCCACAGAGGCUGCAGUGCCCACAGGCAAGAAGAACCAAAGGGUAGUACUGACUGGUAGUGGCUAGCCACAGCUGUGUGGGGCCAGAUUGACACUGCGCAAUCGCUAAGUGGAUCAGUGUUCAGGCUGCCCUGUCUUGGGAGACAUAUAGGGACAGGGACCUAUAACCAACACCUGCCAUAGGCUGGCUUCAGUUAGCCCUUCACGUUGGGAUUCACUGAGUGGUUUUUCUGGAAGUGGCCACCUAGAGUUCCCUGUGGCCAGCCAAGGUAUGGGGGCUGGCUUUUUGGGAUGUCUAGGGAAAGCCAAAAGCAAAACCCAGAAGAUAAUUCUUUUUGUGGAGGAGUUAACAGAUAUAGCACUGACCAAUCAGAAUAGCCACUGGCUAUACAUUUCCCCAUUAUAACAGGAUUCACUGCAUUCCAUAAAUUUUGUUUUUUUAAAUUUCCAAAUAUAUGAAGGCUUUUAAAAGUUAUUUUUUGUUAUUGAUUUCUGAGUUAAAUUCCUUAUGUUCAGAAAAUGUGCUUCAUAUAGUACUGAUUCCAUGACAUAUGUUGAAGCUUACUGGCCUUAGCCAGGUGCGGUGGCUCAAGCCUGUAAUCCCAGCACUUUGAGAGGCCGAGAUGGGUGGAUCACUUGAGAUCAGGAGUUCAAGACCAGCCUGACCAACAUGGUGAACCCAUCUCUACUAAAAAUAAAAAAUAAAUAAAUGAAAAAUAUUAGCCAGGUGUGGUGGCACACGCACCUGUAAUCCCAGCUACUUAGGAGGCUGAGGCAGGAGAAUCACUUGCACCCAGGAGGCGGAGGUUGCAGUGAGCUGAGAUAGUGCCAUCAUACUCCAGCCUGGGUGACAGAGCAAGUCUCCAUCUCAAAAAAAAAUAAAUAAAUAAAUAAAAGAAACUUAUCAGCCUCAUAUAAAGUCAGUUUUCAUAAUAUCCCAUGUGAGUUUGAGAAGAAUGUACAACUAAUAAUUAUUGAUUGCAGUUCUAUAUAUAUAUAUCUGUUAAAUUGAGCUUGUUAAUUGCAUUCAUAUGCUUAAUAAAAGUAAAUAAGAAAAAG
rnacentral:lncRNA from 10 species